GUCGUCGUGGCCGAGUGGUUAAGGCGAUGGACUUGAAAUCCAUUGGGGUCCUCCCCGCAUAGGUUCGAAUCCUAUCGGCGACG
rfam:Octopus bimaculoides Scaffold249116_contig_23, whole genome shotgun sequence.